UGGGGAAUAUUGGACAAUGGGCGCAAGCCUGAUCCAGCCAUGCAGCGUGAGUGAUGAAGGCCCUAGGGUUGUAAAGCUCUUUCACCGGUGAAGAUAAUGACGGUAACCGGAGAAGAAGCCCCGGCUAACUUCGUGCCAGCAGCCGCGGUAAUACGAAGGGGGCUAGCGUUGUUCGGAUUUACUGGGCGUAAAGCGCACGUAGGCGGACUAUUAAGUCAGGGGUGAAAUCCCGGGGCUCAACCCCGGAACUGCCUUUGAUACUGGUAGUCUUGAGUUCGAGAGAGGUGAGUGGAAUUCCGAGUGUAGAAGUGAAAUUCGUAGAUAUUCGGAGGAACACCAGUGGCGAAGGCGGCUCACUGGCUCGAUACUGACGCUGAGGUGCGAAAGCGUGGGGAGCAAACAGG
rnacentral:rRNA from 1 species